UUGGUCAUGGAAUAAACCUGGGGAA
rnacentral:piRNA from 1 species